rnacentral:rRNA from 1 species
AACGAACGCUGGCGGCACGCCUAACACAUGCAAGUCGAACGAGACCUUCGGGUCUAGUGGCGCACGGGUGCGUAACGCGUGGGAAUCUGCCCUUUGCUUCGGAAUAACACAGAGAAAUUUGUGCUAAUACCGGAUAAUGUCGCAAGACCAAAGAUUUAUCGGCAAAGGAUGAGCCCGCGUAAGAUUAGCUAGUUGGUGGGGUAAUGGCCUACCAAGGCGACGAUCUUUAGCUGGUCUGAGAGGAUGAUCAGCCACACUGGGACUGAGACACGGCCCAGACUCCUACGGGAGGCAGCAGUGGGGAAUAUUGGACAAUGGGCGAAAGCCUGAUCCAGCAAUGCCGCGUGAGUGAUGAAGGCCUUAGGGUUGUAAAGCUCUUUUACCAGGGAUGAUAAUGACAGUACCUGGAGAAUAAGCUCCGGCUAACUCCGUGCCAGCAGCCGCCGCAG